rnacentral:rRNA from 1 species
ACGAACGCUGGCGGCGUGCUUCACACCUGCAAGUCGCACGGAAAGGCCCUGCUUUUGUGGGGUGCUCGAGUGGCGAACGGGUGAGUAACACGUGAGUAACCUGCCCUUGACUUUGGGAUAACUUCAGGAAACUGGGGCUAAUACCGGAUAGGAGCUCCUGCUGCAUGGUGGGGGUUGGAAAGUUUCGGCGGUUGGGGAUGGACUCGCGGCUUAUCAGCUUGUUGGUGGGGUAGUGGCUUACCAAGGCUUUGACGGGUAGCCGGCCUGAGAGGGUGACCGGCCACAUUGGGACUGAGUUACGGCCCAGACUCCUACGGGAGGCAGCAGUGGGGAAUAUUGCACAAUGGGCGGAAGCCUGAUGCAGCAACGCCGCGUGCGGGAUGACGGCCUUCGGGUUGUAAACCGCUUUCGCCUGUGACGAAGCGUGAGUGACGGUAAUGGGUAAAGAAGCACCGGCUAACUACGUG